rnacentral:tRNA from 1 species
GCCCGGAUGGCGAAAUUGGUAGACGCACUAGUUUCAGGUACUAGCGGUUGAAAGGCUGUGCAGGUUCGAGUCCUGUUCCGGGCA